rnacentral:misc_RNA from 1 species
GUUCCGUAGGUGAAUCUGCGGAAGGAUCAUUCAUAAUAAAGUGUUCUAUGGCACUUUUUAAAAAUCCAUAUCCACCUUGUGUGCAAUGUUAGAUCUCGUCAAUCUUGGCGAGAUUUUUAUACAUCAACUCAUUCUUUAACUAAUUUGUCUGAAAAAUAUUAUGAAUACUUAAUUCAAGAUACAACUUUCAACAACGGAUCUCUUGGCUCUC